CCCUUAGAUGUUCUGGGCUGCACGCGCGCUACACUGACACACUCAGCGAGUCUCCUGGCCCGAGAGGGUUGGGUAAUCAUGUGAGCGUGUGUCGUGAUGGGGAUAGAAUAUUGUAAUUAUUCCCCAUGAACGAGGAAUUCCCAGUAAGCGCGAGUCAUCAUCUCGCGUUGAUUACGUCCCUGCCCUUUGUACACACCGCCCGUCGCUACUACCGAUUGAAUGGUUUAGUGAGAUCCUCGGAUUGGCCAUCUCGGCGUGACUUCGGUUGUGCACGUGGUGGCCGAGAAGACGAUCAAACUUGAUCAUUUAGAGGAAGUAAAAGUCGUAACA
rnacentral:rRNA from 1 species